rnacentral:sRNA from 2 species
UUCUCGCAUAAGGGAUGGAAGCGGCAUCCUUUUGUGGAGCGAUAGCGGAACAAAAGAUACAGCAGACAGCCCGACCCGUA